UUCCCAAGUGAUGAGUUGCACACAUCACCAGUGCUUGUGGAGUUCCCAGGUACUGGCUGAUACCAUGAUGACAUCUAGAAUGCACAGGGGCCAUCUGAUGGGA